UCUAACCGCACCGUCCCCCAG
rnacentral:miRNA from 1 species